CAUGCAAGUCGAACGGAAGUUUAAGCAAUUAAACUUUAGUGGCGAACGGGUGAGUAACGCGUAAGCAAUCUGCCCCUAAGACGAGGAUAACAGUUGGAAACGACUGCUAAGACUGGAUAGGAGACAAGAAGGCAUCUUCUUGUUUUUAAAAGACCUAGCAAUAGGUAUGCUUAGGUAGGAGCUUGCGUCACAUUAGUUAGUUGGUGGGGUAAAGGCCUACCAAGACUAUGAUGUGUAGCCGGGCUGAGAGGUUGAACGGCCACAUUGGGACUGAGACACGGCCCAAACUCCUACGGGAGGCAGCAGUAGGGAAUUUUCGGCAAUGGAGGAAACUCUGACCGAGCAACGCCGCGUGAACGAUGAAGUAUUUCGGUACGUAAAGUUCUUUUAUUAGGGAAGAAUAAAUGAUGGAAAAAUCAUUCUGACGGUACCUAAUGAAUAAGCCCCGGCUAACUAUGUGCCAGCAGCCGCGGUAAUACAUAGGGGGCAAGCGUUAUCCGGAAUUAUUGGGCGUAAAGGGUGCGUAGGCGGUUAAAUAAGUUUGUGGUCUAAGUGCAAUGCUCAACAUUGUGAUGCUAUAAAAACUGUUUAGCUAGAGUAAGAUAGAGGCAAGUGGAAUUCCAUGUGUAGUGGUAAAAUGCGUAAAUAUAUGGAGGAACACCAGUAGCGAAGGCGGCUUGCUGGGUCUUUACUGACGCUGAGGCACGAAAGCGUGGGGAGCAAACAGGAUUAGAUACCCUGGUAGUCCACGCCGUAAACGAUGAGUACUAAACGUUGGGUAAAACCAGUGUUGAAGUUAACACAUUAAGUACUCCGCCUGAGUAGUACGUACGCAAGUAUGAAACUUAAAGGAAUUGACGGGACUCCGCACAAGCGGUGGAUCAUGUUGUUUAAUUCGAAGGUACCCGAAAAACCUCACCAGGUCUUGACAUGCUUCUGCAAAGCUGUAGAAACACAGUGGAGGUUAUCAGUUGCACAGGUGGUGCAUGGUUGUCGUCAGCUCGUGUCGUGAGAUGUUGGGUUAAGUCCCGCAACGAGCGCAACCCUUAUUGUUAGUUACCAGCACGUAAUGGUGGGGACUUUAGCAAGACUGCCAGUGAUAAAUUGGAGGAAGGUGGGGACGACGUCAAAUCAUCAUGCCCCUUAUGACCUGGGCUACAAACGUGAUACAAUGGCUGUUACAAAGGGUAGCUGAAGCGCAAGUUUUUGGCGAAUCUCAAAAAAACAGUCUCAGUUCGGAUUGAAGUCUGCAACUCGACUUCAUGAAGUUGGAAUCGCUAGUAAUCGCGAAUCAGCAUGUCGCGGUGAAUACGUUCUCGGGGUUUGUACACACCGCCCGUCAAACCACGAAAGUUGGCAAUACCCAAAGCCGGUGGCCUAACUUCGCAAGAAGAGGGAACCGUCUAAGGUAGGGUCGAUGAUUGGGGUUAAG
rnacentral:rRNA from 1 species